rnacentral:rRNA from 1 species
AAGCGCUGAAAGCAUCUAAGUGCGAAGCCCCCCUCAAGAUGAGAUUUCCCAUAACUUUAUGUUAGUAAGAGCCCUGAGAGAUGAUCAGGUAGAUAGGUUAGAAGUGUAAGUGUAGUGAUACAUGUAGCGGACUAAUACUAAUAGCUCGAGGACUUAUCCGAAA